UACAGAGGUCUCAAGCGUUGUUCGGAUUCAUUGGGCGUAAAGGGUGUGUAGGUGGCGCCGUAAGUCGGGUGUGAAAUUUCGGAGCUUAACUGUAGAAGUGCCUCUGAUACUGUCGGUCUUGAGGGAGAUAGGGGUGUGCGGAACUUCCAGUGGAGCGGUGAAAUGCGUUGAUAUUGGAAGGAACGCCGGAGGCGAAAGCGGCGCACUGGAUCUCUACUGACGCUGAGGCGCGAAAGCCAGGGGAGCAAACGGG
rnacentral:rRNA from 1 species